AUGCAAGGGCAGCAGGAGCUCAUGACGCUGUUGAUGCCACCACCAUGCACGGGGUUGAUGCAAGGUGGGACAAUGCGAUCACUAAUGGGGAGAACAUAAAACUUCAAUUGAGGGCACUGUGAUUCUCUAGCUACAUGUAUCAUAGCUUCUGCAGGAGGGCGUCACCUGCGGCAUCACUUGCAUCGACCUCUCACCGAUCACCAUCCCGAGGAUGCACGACAGACUGGCGGAGCAGGGCACCAGUGAUUGUUUCACCAAUUUUCUCGACUCA